UUUGGUUGUUAUACUGACAGUGUGCCUACUAAUUUUUAUUUGUACAUUAAAGAUAGAGAGUUGAAAAGAGUUGAAAUGUGUAAAUAUCUGGGAGUAGUUUUUGAUUGCCACAUGAAAUGGAACAAACAUAUUUCAGAACUAAUGAAAAAACUCAAGUACUUUACCUUCCUCUUUUACAAAUUAAGUAAUUGGAUAAACACAUCAUUACUGAAAAUCAUUUAUCAUGGUCUAUUUGAAAGUGUUAUAAACUAUGGAAUUAUAGCCUGGGGAGGUGCAUAUGAUAACACAUUAAAACCUAUUGUAAAUCUACAAAAUAAAAUGGUAAGCAAAAUAACAAAUUCUGAUGAUAUGUUAGGACCAUUGAAGAUUAAACAAUCUUUCGUUGUACAAGCCUUAGCCUAUUAUUUUUGUGAAUGUAAAACUUUGUACUCUGAUAGAGUAAUCAAUACAAGAUCUAGACAGUUAACAUUACCAAAAAUUAAUAGAACAAUAAGUACUAAAAGUGCAAUUUAUAUUGCAAUUAAAUACUUCAAUUUACUUCCUAGUAAUCUGAAAGAGCUAAAUUAUAAUAAAUGGUUAAGAAAGCAUAUUGUGAGGUGGAUAAGAUCAAUAAUACUUUAAUUCAUGAUAAAUUGUAUUUAUGUAAAAAUUUUGUAAAAUUAUUCUUAAUAUACUCUGUACACUA